rnacentral:rRNA from 1 species
GUGAACGCUGGCGGUAGGCCUAACCCAUGCCAGUCGAACGGCAGCACAGUAAGAGCUUGCUCUUACGGGUGGCGAGUGGCGGACGGGUGAGGAAUACAUCGGAAUCUACUUUUUCGUGGGGGAUAACGUAGGGAAACUUACGCUAAUACCGCAUACGACCUACGGGUGAAAGCAGGGGAUCUUCGGACCUUGCGCGAUUGAAUGAGCCGAUGUCGGAUUAGCUAGUUGGCGGGGUAAAGGCCCACCAAGGCGACGAUCCGUAGCUGGUCUGAGAGGAUGAUCAGCCACACUGGAACUGAGACACGGUCCAGACUCCUACGGGAGGCAGCAGUGGGGAAUAUUGGACAAUGGGCGCAAGCCUGAUCCAGCCAUACCGCGUGGGUGAAGAAGGCCUUCGGGUUGUAAAGCCCUUUUGUUGGGGAAGAAAAGCAGCAGGUUAAUACCCCGCUGUUCUGACGGAACCCAAAGAAUAAGCACCGGCUAACUUCGUG